UACCAGCUCUCCGAGUGGUGUGGAUGUUUAUUGGGCCUAAAGCAUCCGUAGCUGGCUGGGCAAGUCCCCUGUUAAAUCCACCGAUUUAAUCGUUGGAGUGCGGGGGAUACUGCUCGGCUAGGGGGCGGGAGAGGCAGACGGUAUUUUCGGGGUAGGGGUGAAAUCCUAUAAUCCCGAGAAGACCACCAGUGGCGAAGGCUGUCUGCUAGAACGUGCCCGACGGUGAGGGAUGAAAGCUGGGGGGAGCGAACCGGAUUAGAUACCCGGGUAGUCCCAGCUGUAAACGAUGCAGGCUAGGUGUUUGGACGGCCACGUGCCGUUCUAGUGCCGCAGGGAAGCCGUUAAGCCUGCCGCCUGGGGAGUACGGCCGCAAGGCUGAAACUUAAAGGAAUUGGCGGGGGAGCACCACAAGGGGUGAAGCUUGCGGUUU
rnacentral:rRNA from 1 species